rnacentral:rRNA from 1 species
CUCUUUCUCGAUUCAGUGGAUGGUGGUGCAUGGCCGUUCUUAGUUGGUGGAGUGAUCUGUCUGGUUAAUUCCGAUAACGAACGAGACUCUCCCCUGCUAACUAGUCGGUUGGAUCUUGAUCAGUGGGUUGAGUGCCGAGUAACUCUCGCUGUGCGUGGUGUGCGUCGCGUUCCUCACGGUUCGUUGCGUGCUCAUGUGUGGCGUUGGAUGCCUUGGAUCACACUGCACCCCAAGUCCGCCGCUUUGCUAUAACUCUUCUUAGAGGGAUUCACGGCACUGAAGCCGUAAGAGACUGAGAGCAAUAACAGGUCUGUGAUGCCCUUAGAUGCUCUGGGCCGCACGCGCGCUACAAUGCCGGGCACAGCAGGUGUUUCUCCUGCUCCGACAGGAGCGGGUAACCCUCUGAAAGCCAGUGUUCUUGCAAGUGCUUCCUCCCUCGUGGAGUUGCACAGAGGCGUGCUUGGGCCUGGGACUUGCAAUUCUUUCCCACCAACGAGGAAUGCCUAGUAGCGGCGGGUCACUGAGCCCGCUGUGACUCAGUCCCUGCCCUUUGUACACACCGCCCGUCGCUACUACCGAUUGGGUGUACCAGUGAGAGCCUUGGACUGGCGUCCGUUGUUGCUCGC